UUAGGAUAUUGGCCUCUAGCUGCAUCCACAUUGCUGCAAAGGACAUAAUUUUCUUCCUUUUUUAAGGCUGCAUAGUAUUCUAUGGCAGCUCAUAGUCCAAAAUGGACUUUAAGGCAACAAAUGUUUGGAAUUUCUUGAUGCUGAAACAACAACAACAACAACAACAAAACAACAACAACAAAACAGUUAAAUAGAGCCAGAGGAAACUCUGUAAGCUUUCUUGACUACUGAGCCUGAUUACUUACAUGUGAACAGAGAGUUGUUUGGAUUUUGAAAGGAGAACUCUGGGAAUUGAGGGAAGAACACAAUCAAUAAAAAAUUAUUGUUGAAAUCAAUACAGAGACUGGGAAACUGCAAGUAGAGAGGCAGGAGACUUACAAAUUCAGAAAAUGGGGCUCUCCCUACUCUGACUUGAGUGGUUUGAAGUUGACAAAGCCCAGAUGAAAAGAUCAGGAAACAUUUGAGAGGACCAGGACAGAGAAAUGAGGGUCACAUCCUGAUGUAGGUGGAAAGGAGGUUCAUCUAGGCAUGUUUAUGCUAUUAUCAAAAUUGGAAGCAUUGCUCACAGCCCAGUGAAUUUCACAGCUGAGGAAAGCAGAGUCUAAGCGAGCAUGCUGACGUCGCAAUUUUCUCAUGGUCCCUUAAGAAAUGGACUUAGAAGGAAGCAAGAGUAGAACAGCAAGCUGUGAAGCCCAUGGAGAAGGAUUCUUCUCAAAUCUGGAAAUAAACAGAAGGAUCUUCUUUAGUAAUUGGAAAUUACAAGCUGAAAAUAUUUCUGAGCAUUAUAGUUAUGGAAUGGCAGAACCAAUAUGACUUGGCAUUUUGGUAGAGAAAUACUGAAAAAGCUAAGGAUUGAGAUCAUAGAGAAUAUAAGGUCCUGGAAUUUAGGGGCUCACACAUUAUAAAUGUGGAUUAAUCUGCUCAUGGGAGAGAGACGAGUUUGGAACAGAGACUUUUCUCAGUUCCACACUGAAUUCCAAGAAUAAAGGAAAAGACUUGUUAGAGUAGUAUACUAGGUUAAAAAAAACUCUACAUAAUCUCAUGCAUACAAAUAGAAGCAUUCUGCAUAUGUGACUAUCAUCUCUCAUUGACCUCAAACAGAAAUGUGAGAUAUCUUGGUCUAGAUUUUAAGGUAAUAAAGCCAUGCUCAAAUUACAGGCUGCUAAACUGAUCAUGUUUAGUGAUGCUGAGAUUUGCCUGUGUUUCCAAUUUUUGAGUGUUAUUUGUAUGUAUUUUGACAGCUCCCAGGAACUCUGAACAGAUUGUGCUCAAUUUGGGGAAGUCCAUCAUAAGUUCAAAUGGAAGUGUUCAAGGCUUCAGUCAUCCCAGUUGCAGUUCAAGAAGAGACCCAGACUCCAUCCAGGAAUGGGGUCAGACCCUCGUCAAGCUGGGACUGAGCCAUGUAAUAAGAAAAUCUUUUCAACUGGUAUUUGGAGGAUGCCUACAUUAUGUCAAGAAUUAUUUUUUUAUUUUUUAUUUUUAUUUUUAUUUUUUGUUGUUUUUGAGACGGAGUUUCACUCUUGUUGCCCAGACUGGAG
rnacentral:lncRNA from 10 species